GGGGGGGGCAAGAGCAUGUCUUAGGAGCAGAAGGAGAGAUGGAAGAGUGGAAGCGGGAAAGAGCAAGAGAAGUGAGGACAUAACUGUAGAAAAACGAGCACAUGUGUGAGUGUUUGCUUUAUUGCAGAGGCCCCACCUACCCCUCCAUCCUGUUAAGGAGGCACAGUCCUGAGGAGGAGGGGUAGGAUGGUGAGGAUCCCCUCCCUCAGCCAAGAGCGCACACACACACACACACGCUCUCUGUGGUUCAUACACUCUGUUCAGUGAAGGAGCAGCCGCUGCUCUGGAUAGACCACGCAAGAUUCUGCAGGUGUCCCACCCUUCUCUCAAGUCUUGGACGCCUCAGGAAGCAUCUUCCGGAGGUCUCCUCUCCCUGGCUGAUGUUAGCGAUGUGUCAGCAGUAAGCUAGGCCUGCCUGCGAGGCUGCUGGGCUGUGGUGGCGUCCAUCCCAGUCUGGCUAAAGGCCAGACCAGACAUGUCAUGGCACAACACAACGGAGAUAUGACAAGAUCAAGGAUUGGCAGAAAUAUUCUGUUACAAGAUGCAGUAUUGUUGAUCUAGUAAUAAACAAAGAACUCAAGUUUAAUAUUUAAAUAAAAACAAUGUUUUUUCCCUCCCCUUUUGUCUUUUUCCCUAACAGUCUGCUAUGAUGGAAGCAAGAUGUGAUGCUUGAAAAAGGAAGGGAUGUCAGAGGGGCGUGCAGCACACACACUGCGUUGGGCUCAAACCCAAAAAAGUCAUAAAACAUGUGUUUGUUGGGGUCAUAGGCUGAAAGCUGGUGAAUGGUGACCUGAGUGAGAUGCCUUGGUGACAUCUGACCUCUAACUGGGUGUGUGGCUGACCCUGGAGGAUGCAGCUCAACAAUGGAAGGCACGUGCCUCAGCCUAAUCACCAUGAGGAAACAUCUGACCCCUCAACAAAAAGGUUUGUCACCCCCAUUUACCCCAAUUUUGUGUCAAUAUUAGUAUAAUUAUUGAGAAAGGUUAAGAAGCCACCAAAGCUUCUUUAAGCUCUUCAAAAAUUACUAAAGCCACAUUAUUAAAUGAAAAAUUUUAAGGUCUUUCAGGAAUUUCUGCACAAAGUAAUUUUUGCUACUGCUUAAUAUUAGUAAUAGCACUUGCUCUAAAAGAAUGGUUACUUUAUCAUUAUUAAUUCAAAUUUGAAAAACGUGUUUUUGAUCCUUUAAUCUAUAAUGGCCUUUCACUCUGCUGUUCUCAUUUGCCGCCCUUCCAGAGUCUUCUGCCCACCCUCCCAAACAAAAUGUUCCAGCUCUGCUAUGGAUUUGGCUAAUAUCUAAAAUGACAACAUCCAUCCAUUUUCUUAACCUGCCAUAUUCCUUUCGUGGUCACUAGGUUGCC
rnacentral:lncRNA from 1 species